AGUGAACGCUGGCGGUAGGCCUAACACAUGCAAGUCGAACGGCAGCACAGUAAGAGCUUGCUCUUACGGGUGGCGAGUGGUGGACGGGUGAGGAAUACAUCGGAAUCUACUUUUUCGUGGGGGAUAACGUAGGGAAACUUACGCUAAUACCGCAUACGACCUACGGGUGAAAGCAGGGGAUCUUCGGACCUUGCGCGAUUGAAUGAGCCGAUGUCGGAUUAGCUAGUUGGCGAGGUAAAGGCCCACCAAGGCGACGAUCCGUAGCUGGUCUGAGAGGAUGAUCAGCCACACUGGAACUGAGACACGGUCCAGACUCCUACGGGAGGCAGCAGUGGGGAAUAUUGGACAAUGGGCGCAAGCCUGAUCCAGCCAUACCGCGUGGGUGAAGAAGGCCUUCGGGUUGUAAAGCCCUUUUGUUGGGAAAGAAAAGCAGCAGGUUAAUACCCCGCUGUUCUGACGGUACCCAAAGAAUAAGCACCGGCUAACUUCGUG
rnacentral:rRNA from 1 species